rnacentral:rRNA from 1 species
CGAGUGAAGCGGCAACAGCUCAAAUUUGAAAUCUGGCCCUAGGCCCGAGUUGUAAUUUGCAGAGGAUGCUUCGGGCGCGGUGCCUUCCAAGUCCCCUGGAACGGGGCGCCGGAGAGGGUGAGAGCCCCGUACGGUUGGCGGCCAAGCCUGUGUGAAGCUCCUUCGACGAGUCGAGUAGUUUGGGAAUGCUGCUCUAAGCGGGAGGUAGACCCCUUCUAAAGCUAAAUAUAGGCCAGAGACCGAUAGCGCACAAGUAGAGUGAUCGAAAGAUGAAAAGCACUUUGAAAAGAGGGUUAAAUAGCACGUGAAAUUGUUGAAAGGGAAGCGCUUGUGACCAGACGUGCGCCGGGGUGUUCAGCGGGCGUUCUCGCCCGUGCACUCGCCUCGGCGCAGGCCAGCGUCGGUUCGAGUGGGAGGAUAAAGGCGUCUGGAAUGUGGCUCCUCCGGGAGUGUUAUAGCCAGACGUGCCAUGCUCCCGCCCGGACCGAGGUACGCGUUCUGCAAGGACGCUGGCGUAAUGGUCUCCAGCGACCCGUCUUGAAACACGGACCAAGGAGUCGAGGUUUUGCGCGAGUGUUUGGGUGUUAAACCCGCACGCGUAAUGAAAGUGAACGUAGGUGGGAGCUUCGGCGCACCACCGACCGAUCCUGAUGUUUUCGGAUGGAUUUGAGUAAGAGCGUAGGGCCUCGGACCCGAAAGAUGGUGAACUAUGCUUGGAUAGGGUGAAGCCAGAGGAAACUCUGGUGGAGGCUCGCAGCGGUUCUGACGUGCAAAUCGAUCGUCAAAUCUGAGCAUGGGGGCGAAAGACUAAUCGAACCAUCUAGUAGCUGGUUACCGCCGAAGUUUCCCUCAGGAUAGCAGUGUUGUUCUUCAGUUUUAUGAGGUAAAGCGAAUGAUUAGGGACUCGGGGGCGCUAUUUA